AUUGCACGUUAGUUUCGACCGUAAUGUAUAGGUAUGUGUGCAAAACCAUGUUACGACGAUUGUUCCUCUCAAAAAAGGUAUCCUAUCAAGCUCGUUUGUUUAGUGGUAACUUUAGGUACUUAGAAGUGCUCAACAACGAAAAUAACGUCGCUAUCGUUACAAUGAAACGCGCACCAGUAAAUACCCUAAACUCUGAACUUCUGUCUGAGAUUUCAAGCGUUUUGACCAAUUUAGACGAAACCAAGUGUUCAGGAAUGGUUUUAACAUCGUUUUCCGAUAAAGUGUUUUCUAGCGGACUGGAUUUUAACGAAAUGUAUGAGUCGAGACCAGCGACGAUACGGACGUUAGUUUCUACAAUUUUGGAGGUCAUCAUAAAACUGUACGGUAGUCCGUUUCCAACGGUGGCUGUAAUUACUGGUCACGCGCCAUCAGGCGGUUGUGUGCUGAGUUUGUGCUGUGAAUAUCGCAUAAUGGUUCAAAAUUUUCAAAUUGGAUUGAACGUUGUUAAGUUGGGAUAUAGUACCCCUUUAUCAAUUGUACAGUUGAUGGUAAACACAAUCGGUCAUAGAAACGCGGAACUGGCAUUAACAUCAGGUAGACUUUUUACCACAAAUGAAGCAUUGCGAGUGGGAUUGAUUGAUGAAAUUGCAAAGGAUAGAGCUAGCGCAUUUGAUAAAGCAAAUGAUUUUCUGAAUCAGUUCAAAGUGAUACCUCCAAUAGCCAGGCAUUUUACGAAACAGAGUAUGAGGAGAGCACUUCUACAGCAUGGCCACCUCGCUGACAGCUGCUCCUUGUCGAUCACGGACCAAUCCAAGGGUUAGUACGUACUCAUAUUACAACCAAAUCAAUCAGCUCAAUGAUCAACUUGGUAAAAACAUGGCGGACAUGGAGCAUUAUGUCCUGACUGUCCUUUAACAGUCACUAUAGUGGCACAGAUAAAACACUCAAUCUGUGGUAAUGGUAAUUAGCCAAACUGUCAUCUAGCGGCAACGAAUGUCGAAUAGUAACUAUACAAUGCACUUGUUCCUCCGAUAACCGCACCGCACACCGCAGCUAUCGAUAUUUAAGAUAAUAUACUACUCUGUGGACGUUUCAAUUAACGGAAAAAUAUACGUUGAGGAUUUCGUCUCGUUAAUCUCGCGACCUAAAGUACAAGAAUUAAUCGCUGCCUAUAUGGCAAAUAUGAAAAAUAAAAAGAAGAAUUCCAAUUAAUGUUGACAAUUUUUAAAAAUCGACCAGGGGUACUUUUACAUAGGAUUAUAACAUAACUAAAAAUUGUCGACCCAUUUUGGUAACUGAGCAGGAUUGUAGAAGAUGAGCAGGCGGAGAAAAAAACUGCAACAUAGUUUUUGACUUCCGGUUUCGUUAGAAGGAGGGGGGGGGGGUUUCUAUAAAUAAUUGUCCAAUUUCCAAGGUUUUCAAGAUAUACGAUAUUGAAGAUCAAUCUACUUUUUGUCAAAACAUUUGCUUCCAGUCUUGAUUAAACCUGGAAGUUUCGUUGAGUCACCGCAUUGAAACAAAAGUUUCCACUACAGUUUUCAUAGAACUUUUGCUAAUCACCUAAAUCAAUUAACUAAACUUGAUCUGCUAAGGUAAGUGGUUCCAGAAAUCGGUUUCUGGUUUCCUCCAAGGGGCGUGGAGAAAAAUGAAGUAGGUGGUAUGAAUCCACUGCUUCGGGGAUGUACCUAAUCAAAAAUCUCAAACAUGGGAUCUUCUCCCCCUCCCCCUUCUCUCGUUAUGGUCACAUCUCGGGGGCGAGUUUACCUGCUAACUAGUAACUGUUCCUAACCCAGUCUUGAAGUCAUAUCUAUAUUUUGUAACGUAUCCAAAUAAGUAUCUGAAAUAAUUGUAGGUAGAAGGAUUUUCACUGUUUGUAAACUUCUUUGUCUAAAAAGUAUUAAAUAAACACAAUUGAAAUUUA